AGGCAGGAACUAACAGGAUUCCCCUAGUAACUGCGAGUGAAGCGGGAAAAGCUCAAAUUUAAAAUCUGGCUUAGCUUCGCCGCCCGAGUUGUAAUCUAGAGAAGCAUUAUCAGCGCUCGCGGCGUGUACAAGUGUCCUGGAAUGGACCAUCAUAGAGGGUGACAAUCCCGUCUUUGACACGGCUGCCUUUAGUGCUAUUGAUGUGCUCUCAACGAGUCGAGUUGUUUGGGAAUGCAGCUCUAAAUGGGUGGUAAGUUCCAUCUAAAGCUAAAUAUUGGCGAGAGACCGAUAGCGAACAAGUACCGUGAGGGAAAGAUGAAAAGAACUUUGGAAAGAGAGUUAAACAGUACGUGAAAUUGCUGAAAGGGAAACGCUUGAAGUCGGUCGCGUUGGCUGGGUAAAUUCGAGAAAUCAACCUUGCUUUCUUGAAAGCUUGGCUUAUUUCCCAGCUGACGGGCCAGCAUCAGUUUUGACCGGUGGAUAAAGGCCAAGGGAAUGUGGCACCUCUUGGGGUGUGUUAUAGCCCUCGGUCAUAUACAUCGGUUGGGACUGAGGAACUCAGCACUUGUUGCUUAGGAUGCUGGCAUAAAGGCUUUAAGCGACCCGUCUUGAAACACGGACCAAGGAGUCUAACAUGCCCGCGAGUGUUUGGGUGGAAAACCCGAGCGCGCAAUGAAAGUGAAAGUUGAGAUCCCUGUCAUGGGGAGCAUCAAUGCCUGGACCAGAGCUUUUGUGAUGGAUCCACGGUAGAGCGUGUAUGUUGGGACCCGAAAGAUGGUGAACUAUGCCUGAAUAGGGUGAAGCCAGAGGAAACUCUGGUGGAGGCUUGUAGCGAUUCUGACGUGCAAAUCGAUCGUCAAAUUUGGGUAUAGGGGCGAAAGACUAAUCGAACCAUCUAGUAGCUGGUUCCUGCCGAGUUUCCCCUCAGGGA
rnacentral:rRNA from 1 species